AUUGAACGCUGGCGGCAGGCCUAACACAUGCAAGUCGAGCGAGCGGCGGACGGGUGAGCAAAGUAUGGGGACUGCACGAUAGAGGGGGCUAACUACUGGAACUGGUAGCUAAUACCGCAUACUAUCGGAUAAUCCAUUUGGGAUUAGCUAGUAGGUGAGGUAAUGGGUCACCUCGGCGACGAUCCCUAGCUGGUCUGAGAGGAUGAUCAGCCACACUGGGACAGAGGCACGGCCCAGACGCCGACGGAGGCAGCAGGGGGGAAUAUUGCACAAUGGGCGCAAGCCUGAUGCAGCAAUGCCGCGUGUAUGAAGAAGGCCCUAGGGUUGUAAAGUACUUUCAGUCGAGAGGCGUUACCGACAGAAGAAGCACCGGCUAACUCCGGGCCAGCAGCCGCGGUAAUUC
rnacentral:rRNA from 1 species